rnacentral:rRNA from 1 species
AACGGGUGGUAAUGCCGGAUGCUCCAGUUGACCGCAUGGUCCUCUGGGAAAGCUUUUGCGGUAUGGGAUGGGGUCGCGUCCUAUCAGCUUGAUGGCGGGGUAACGGCCCACCAUGGCUUCGACGGGUAGCCGGCCUGAGAGGGCGACCGGCCACAUUGGGACUGAGAUACGGCCCAGACUCCUACGGGAGGCAGCAGUGGGGAAUAUUGCACAAUGGGCGCAAGCCUGAUGCAGCGACGCCGCGUGCGGGAUGACGGCCUUCGGGUUGUAAACCGCUUUUGACUGGGAGCAAGCCCUUCGGGGUGAGUGUACCUUUCGAAUAAGCACCGGCUAACUACGUGCCAGCAGCCGCGGUAAUACGUAGGGUGCAAGCGUUAUCCGGAAUUAUUGGGCGUAAAGGGCUCGUAGGCGGUUCGUCGCGUCCGGUGUGAAAGUCCAUCGCUUAACGGUGGAUCCGCGCCGGGUACGGGCGGGCUUGAGUGCGGUAGGGGAGACUGGAAUUCCCGGUGUAACGGUGGAAUGUGUAGAUAUCGGAAA